GCGUCUAAAUAGAGGGUGCUAUUUUAAUAGCCCAACAUGGCGAAUGUCUUGUGGUUAAUAUGAAAGCUGGCACAAAAAUGGAGGGUAUUGUCAUAAUCUCAAAGGUUACAUUUCAGCUCAGACCACAGCUGCAGCGUUAGCUGUGCUUUUCCUUUUAAGAGGAAGCAACAAAAAGAGAAGACAAGAGGCGGAGGCGAAAGCAGCGAGCAGCCCGUCUGCCACAUUAAUGCACAAUCAUUUAUUAUUAGCUAAACAUUACGGAAGCUCACUUGUGUUAUAUCCAGCUGUUGGACAAUUUCGUGACACGCCACGAGCUUAAACCCACGACAAAUACCACACAAGCGGGGCAGUCAGACGUUACUUUUAAACAUGACACACUCCUACAAGAAGCGUAAGAUUGAAGAGCCUCUCCUCCUGAUUCACUCUCCAAGCAACUCGAGCGAAGUGACGUCAGCUCCAGGGUUCGGAGAGGCUACCAUGCAAAGUUGUGUGGCAUCGUAGUCUCUAAGAUGGCAGCAUUGCAAACAUAUACAUCUAAAUAUUAUGCAACAGCAAGCUCAGUAAAGAUCACAUAUCGUGGAUCUUGGGCAUCAGUAUUUGCAAGGACACAAAUUAUAGUAAUAAACAAAUAAAUACACAUUUAAAGUAAGGUACCCAGUAAAACAGUUCAUUUAUUUGUUUGCAAUUGUAUCAAUGCCAGUAGUUACUUGUGCAUCUUGUCAAACUCUUUCAUUUGAAAUUUCCAAAAGUCUGGACUCCUAUAAGGCAAAUAUCAGCGUACUAUUGCUUUGAUGGUUCCUGGAAUAAAAUGUAUAGAAAAGU